UAAGAAUAGAUUGUCUUAGGUGCCCUGCUAAAGGGAGAAUAGGGAACCGGGUGCAAGUCCCGGACGGGCCCGCCACUGUAAAGGUAAGCCGAUGUCAACAACCACUCCGGUUUUGGGGGAAGGGACAUAAGGGCGAUGAACCUGAGUCAGGAGACCUGCCUGAGAUAAGAGAGGCCU
rnacentral:ncRNA from 2 species